rnacentral:piRNA from 1 species
UGGAUUAGCUCUCCUGGUGUGUGUGU